rnacentral:lncRNA from 1 species
AUGCGCAUCUUCAACGAUCACCUCGUCCGAAGUGAAGAAACGGGAAAGAGAACUCUCAGUACGGUGAAACUUUGGCUAUCAGUGAUUGGAGGCUAAUUGUUGCUUAGUUUUUUUGGGUUUCGUUAGUUUUGUCUAGGGGAUGUUUGGUUACUCGAAAGUCGGCGAAGUGGAAAAAGUCACUUUUAUAAAAGUGACUUUUUAGUUCGAUUGUUUGGUUGUUAUAAAGUUAAAAAUUAAAACUAUAAUUUUAUAUUUUUUGAUUAUUAAAUUAUAUAUAAAGAGGUAAAAAUAUAAACAAACAAUUUAAAUUAAAAAUUUAAAUUUAAAUUAAUAUUUAGAAUUCAAAGUUAUAUUUUAAAAUUUAAAUUUAAACUUAAAUCUGAGUUGAAUUUAUAAUU